GGAAUCUUCCACAAUGGGCGCAAGCCUGAUGGAGCAACACCGCGUGAGUGAAGAAGGGUUUCGGCUCGUAAAGCUCUGUUGUUAAAGAAGAACACGUAUGAGAGUAACUGUUCAUACGUUGACGGUAUCUAACCAGAAAGCCACGGCUAACUACGUGCCAG
rnacentral:rRNA from 1 species